rnacentral:rRNA from 1 species
GACGAACCGUGCAAACGUUAUUCGGAAUCACUGGGCUUAAAGGGCGCGUAGGCGGGCUGCCAAGUCUGGGGUGAAAUCCUCCGGCUCAACCGGAGAACGGCCUCGGAUACUGGCGGCCUCGAGGGGGGUAGGGGCGUGCGGAACUGUGGGUGGAGCGGUGAAAUGCGUUGAGAUCCACAGGAACUCCGGUGGCGAAGGCGGCACGCUGGACCCCAUCUGACGCUGAGGCGCGAAAGCCAGGGGAGCGAACGGG